AAUCAACGCUGGCGGCGUGCCUCAGACAUGCAAGUCGAACGCGAAAUUCUCCUUCGGGGGAAGAGUAGAGUGGCGCACGGGUGAGUAACACGUAGGUAAUCUACCUCUGGGUGGGGAAUAACAGCCGGAAACGGCUGCUAAUACCGCAUAAUGCAGCGGCACCAUAAGGUGACAGUUGUUAAAGCGGGGGAUCCUGAAAGGGACCUCGCGCCUGAAGAGGAGCCUGCGGCAGAUUAGCUAGUUGGUAGGGUAAAGGCCUACCAAGGCGACGAUCUGUAGCCGGCCUGAGAGGGCGGUCGGCCACACUGACACUGACAUACGGGUCAGACUCCUACGGGAGGCAGCAGUCGGGAAUUUUGGGCAAUGGGCGAAAGCCUGACCCAGCAACGCCGCGUGAAGGAUGAAAUCCCUCGGGAUGUAAACUUCGCAAGAAUAGGAAGAAUAAGGAGGGAUAACACCCCUUUGAUGACGGUACUAUUUGUAAGCUCCGGCUAACUCCGUGCCAGCCGCC
rnacentral:rRNA from 1 species